AUAAUCAGUGGAUGGCUGUAGCUGGCUCAGUUCAGCAGGAACAGGGGUCU
ensembl:miRNA